GGAUGGGAUCAUACCAGCACUAAAGCAUCGAAUCCCAUCGGAACUCCGAAGUUAAGCGUGCGUGGGCGAGAGUUGUACUAGGAUGGGUGACCUCCUGGGAAGUCCUCGUGUUGCAUUCC
rfam:Triticum aestivum genome assembly, contig: Triticum_aestivum_CS42_TGACv1_scaffold_429422_5BS